rnacentral:rRNA from 1 species
AGUGAACGCUGGCGGUAGGCCUAACACAUGCAAGUCGAACGGCAGCACAGUAAGAGCUUGCUCUUACGGGUGGCGAGUGGCGGACGGGUGAGGAAUACAUCGGAAUCUACUUUUUCGUGGGGGAUAACGUAGGGAAACUUACGCUAAUACCGCAUACGACCUACGGGUGAAAGCAGGGGAUCUUCGGACCUUGCGCGAUUGAAUGAGCCGAUGUCGGAUUAGCUAGUUGGCGGGGUAAAGGCCCACCAAGGCGACGAUCCGUAGCUGGUCUGAGAGGAUGAUAAGCCACACUGGAACUUAGACACGGUCCAGACUCCUACGGGAGGCAGCAGUGGGGAAUAUUAGACAAUAGGCGCAAGCCUGAUCCAGCCAUACCGCGUGGGUGAAGAAGGCCUUCGGGUUGUAAAGCCCUUUUGUUGGGAAAGAAAAGCAGCAGGUUAAUACCCCGCUGUUCUGACGGUACCCAAAGAAUAAGCACCGGCUAACUUCGUG